rnacentral:rRNA from 1 species
GCCCCGUACACAAAAAUGCACAUACUGUGAGCUCGAUGAGUAGGGCGGGACACGUGGUAUCCUGUCUGAAUAUGGGGGGACCAUCCUCCAAGGCUAAAUACUCCUGACUGACCGAUAGUGAACCAGUACCGUGAGGGAAAGGCGAAAAGAACCCCGGCGAGGGGAGUGAAAAAGAACCUGAAACCGUGUACGUACAAGCAGUGGGAGCACGCUUAGGCGUGUGACUGCGUACCUUUUGUAUAAUGGGUCAGCGACUUAUAUUCUGUAGCAAGGUUAACCGAAUAGGGGAGCCGAAGGGAAACCGAGUCUUAACUGGGCGUUAAGUUGCAGGGUAUAGACCCGAAACCCGGUGAUCUAGCCAUGGGCAGGUUGAAGGUUGGGUAACACUAACUGGAGGACCGAACCGACUAAUGUUGAAAAAUUAGCGGAUGACUUGUGGCUGGGGGUGAAAGGCCAAUCAAACCGGGAGAUAGCUGGUUCUCCCCGAAAGCUAUUUAGGUAGCGCCUCGUGAAUUCAUCUCCGGGGGUAGAGCACUGUUUCGGCAAGGGGGUCAUCCCGACUUACCAACCCGAUGCAAACUGCGAAUACCGGAGAAUGUUAUCACGGGAGACACACGGCGGGUGCUAACGUCCGUCGUGAAGAGGGAAACAACCCAGACCGCCAGCUAAGGUCCCAAAGUCAUGGUUAAGUGGGAAACGAUGUGGGAAGGCCCAGACAGCCAGGAUGUUGGCUUAGAAGCAGCCAUCAUUUAAAGAAAGCGUAAUAGCUCACUGGUCGAGUCGGCCUGCGCGGAAGAUGUAACGGGGCUAAACCAUGCACCGAAGCUGCGGCAGCGACGCUUAUGCGUUGUUGGGUAGGGGAGCGUUCUGUAAGCCUGUGAAGGUGUGCUGUGAGGUAUGCUGGAGGUAUCAGAAGUGCGAAUGCUGACAUAAGUAACGAUAAAGCGGGUGAAAAGCCCGCUCGCCGGAAGACCAAGGGUUCCUGUCCAACGUUAAUCGGGGCAGGGUGAGUCGACCCCUAAGGCGAGGCCGAAAGGCGUAGUCGAUGGGAAACAGGUUAAUAUUCCUGUACUUGGUGUUACUGCGAAGGGGGGACGGAGAAGGCUAUGUUGGCCGGGCGACGGUUGUCCCGGUUUAAGCGUGUAGGCUGGUUUUCCAGGCAAAUCCGGAAAAUCAAGGCCGAGGCGUGAUGACGAGGCACUACGGUGCUGAAGCAACAAAUGCCCUGCUUCCAGGAAAAGCCUCUAAGCAUCAGGUAACAUCAAAUCGUACCCCAAACCGACACAGGUGGUCAGGUAGAGAAUACCAAGGCGCUUGAGAGAACUCGGGUGAAGGAACUAGGCAAAAUGGUGCCGUAACUUCGGGAGAAGGCACGCUGAUACGUAGGUGAAGCGACUUGCUCGUGGAGCUGAAAUCAGUCGAAGAUACCAGCUGGCUGCAACUGUUUAUUAAAAACACAGCACUGUGCAAACACGAAAGUGGACGUAUACGGUGUGACGCCUGCCCGGUGCCGGAAGGUUAAUUGAUGGGGUUAGCGCAAGCGAAGCUCUUGAUCGAAGCCCCGGUAAACGGCGGCCGUAACUAUAACGGUCCUAAGGUAGCGAAAUUCCUUGUCGGGUAAGUUCCGACCUGCACGAAUGGCGUAAUGAUGGCCAGGCUGUCUCCACCCGAGACUCAGUGAAAUUGAACUCGCUGUGAAGAUGCAGUGUACCCGCGGCAAGACGGAAAGACCCCGUGAACCUUUACUAUAGCUUGACACUGAACAUUGAGCCUUGAUGUGUAGGAUAGGUGGGAGGCUUUGAAGUGUGGACGCCAGUCUGCAUGGAGCCGACCUUGAAAUACCACCCUUUAAUGUUUGAUGUUCUAACGUGGACCCGUGAUCCGGGUUGCGGACAGUGUCUGGUGGGUAGUUUGACUGGGGCGGUCUCCUCCUAAAGAGUAACGGAGGAGCACGAAGGUUGGCUAAUCCUGGUCGGACAUCAGGAGGUUAGUGCAAUGGCAUAAGCCAGCUUGACUGCGAGCGUGACGGCGCGAGCAGGUGCGAAAGCAGGUCAUAGUGAUCCGGUGGUUCUGAAUGGAAGGGCCAUCGCUCAACGGAUAAAAGGUACUCCGGGGAUAACAGGCUGAUACCGCCCAAGAGUUCAUAUCGACGGCGGUGUUUGGCACCUCGAUGUCGGCUCAUCACAUCCUGGGGCUGAAGUAGGUCCCAAGGGUAUGGCUGUUCGCCAUUUAAAGUGGUACGCGAGCUGGGUUUAGAACGUCGUGAGACAGUUCGGUCCCUAUCUGCCGUGGGCGCUGGAGAACUGAGGGGGGCUGCUCCUAGUACGAGAGGACCGGAGUGGACGCAUCACUGGUGUUCGGGUUGUCAUGCCAAUGGCACUGCCCGGUAGCUAAAUGCGGAAGAGAUAAGUGCUGAAAGCAUCUAAGCACGAAACUUGCCCCGAGAUGAGUUCUCCCUGACCCUUUAAGGGUCCUGAAGGAACGUUGAAGACGACGACGUUGAUAGGCCGGGUGUGUAAGCGCAGCGAUGCGUUGAGCUAACCGGUACUAAUGAACCGUGAGGCUUAACCUUACAACGCCGAAG